CAUGUCUGAACCCUUCAAUAGGGCAAGGGAGGAGUGCGGCAUCCGGAAACAAUCUAGUAUCAAAUACGAGUCAUGAGUUGUGGAAUAGAAGGUGUCGUCGGGUUGAGGGCCCUCCAGACACCUCAGUUGGUAGGAGUGAAGAAGUCUAAAUAUUUUGGCACAGUUGUGUCUGCAGCUGUGUCAUGGUGGUGUCCACAUCUGGGAGGAGGGUGAGGGAGUGACCACUGUGCCUUUCAGGUGCUCUGCAAGAGUGUCCAGAGUUUUUCUGAGAAAUUGGUGUUGCCUGGUGUUUGGGGCGUAGAUGUUCACGAAUGUAUACAACUGGUCGUGGAUGGUAUCCUGGAGCAGCAGAUAUCUUCCCUGGGGGUCCAUUUUGCUGUCCUUGACCACCAGCGGGAACCUCCUGGAGAUGAGGAUUCCCACGCCUCGGAUCUUCCGUUCCGGGUUAUUGCUGAAGAACCCUGUUGGGAAGUGGCCCUGCCAUCUUGGAAGUGCGUCUCCUGAGAUCCCACAGGAGACGGGUGUGUUUCUCCUGUAUGCCGCGGACAUUAGAGGAGACAAGGACCAGGUCUUCUUGCGCAAAGUGUGAGUCUCCCUUUGGUGGCAUUGUGAUCCAGGUUCCAACCUGUAAUCCAUUCCAAAAAUGUACAAAAUUAAAAAAAA